CAAUAGCGUAUAUUAAAGUUGUUGCAGUUAAAAAGCUCGUAGUUGGACUUCUGAUGUGGAGGGACGGUCCGCCUCACGGUGAGCACUGAUUCUUCACGUCUUCCUCUCGUAGUCUUUUGGCGCACUUAGUUGGGUGCCUUUAGAAUAUGGGACCUUUACUUUGAAAAAUUAGAGUGUUCAAAGCAGGCAAUCGCUUGAAUACAUUAGCAUGGAAUAAUAGAAUAGGACUUUGGUUCUAUUUUGUUGGUUUCUAGGACCGAAGUAAUGAUUAAUAGGGACAGUUGGGGGCAUUAGUAUUUAAUUGUCAGAGGUGAAAUUCUUGGAUUCGGUCAAGACUAACUUAUGCGAAAGCAUUCACCAAGGAUGUCUUCUUUAAUCAAGAACGAAAGUUGGGGGAUCGAAGACGAUUAGAUACCGU
rnacentral:rRNA from 1 species